AUUAUUGCGAUAAGGAAACUCUCGUGUCACGACCCACUGGCGUCUGGCUAAUCCGAUGGUAUUCGUCGCCGCAUUGUCCGUGAUCAAUAACUAAUUAUCAAAGUGGCAUUUCUUUUCAAGAGCUCCUUGUUAAAAAAUGGCUUUUGGCUGAGACUAGAGGAAAAAGGUCGCCACUUUGACAUCGUUGCAAGUCUUUCAAAAUCCAGUGGGCCGUCCAAUUGAAUUACUGUCCCAAACUAAUUGAUAUAAAUUUGAACAGAAGAAUGCUUGUUACUACAGAAUGUCAUAAUGAUAUCCUUGGCAAGAGCAUGUCAGUGGGAAAAAAGAGAAAAGACCAGUGCUAGUCACAAAGCAUCUAGACAAGUUGCAGCAGAAGACUGUUAAUAAAACUAACAGGAAAAAAAUUGUACACCAGUUCCUUCUCCUCAGUAAGUUUGGUCAGACAUUCCAGAAGGAAAAGCAUUAACAUUUGGUUUUGAACCGCGUGCAUUUGAAAUCAGACUUCAGAAAACCUGCUGGAAAAAAAAAUAAAAAUUGCAGUAUACCAAGGACUGAAAACCUGAUAUCAGCUGCAGAAGUCUCAUUGACUCUACUGGGAUCACGAGUGAGUAUCUGCUGAAAUUUAGCUUUAGUUGUAAGGCAGAAUUUAGCAGACAGUUUCCUUAAGAGAGGUUACUAAGCAGCCUUAAAUAUGACCUUCUCUGAAGCAAAUUGGAUUGUAUGUAAAUAAGUCACAUGACUUUGAACUAGACAAAGAACACAUGCACUUAAGAUAAAGGAAGUGCAGUCAUAAAACUGUUGUGAAAAAAAUUGGUGAGAAAAAGAUUUCAUUCUAUUUAUGCCUGAGAUUUGAUGUAUGCCUUGGAGAUUGCUGCAGAAAUCUUGGAAACUUUCUGACUUUUCAUUGCAUGGCAACUGGGCUUGUGGAGUUUCUGGUUUUGUUUUUGUUUUCUAGACCUGACUACCUUCCUCUCUAUGUCAUACACUCUGUCCCUGAGCUGGGAAUUGCAAAGGAGGAGCACAGGCAAAGGUCACGCCACAAAGGGUUGUACACAUGUGGACUGAUGCCAGUGGAACCAGUGGAAUGUCUCUGCAUACACAUGCACUGUAGACCUCUCCUUGGAAGAUCUUGGCUAAGUCACUACAUAGCAGCCUAUGAAUUAUUUCACUCCUUGGGACCAAGAGUUUUGGUGCAUCAGUUGUCCAAGAUGAAUAUCACAUUGAGGUAUGAAAGGAUUAAGCUGAAAGGCCUACUUAACACAGUCAUGACACUGGUGACAGAAUUAAGUGGUAAUGAUAUAUAA
rnacentral:lncRNA from 1 species